rnacentral:misc_RNA from 1 species
GAUGAAGAACGUAGCGAAAUGCGAUAAGUAGUGUGAAUUGCAGAAUUCAGUGAAUCAUCGAAUCUUUGAACGCACAUUGCGCCCCAUGGUAUUCCGUGGGGCAUGCCUGUUCGAGCGUCAUUUACCCCCUCAAGCUCCGCUUGGUGUUGGGCGUCUGUCCCGCUUCGCGCGCGGACUCACCCCAAAGGUAUUGGCAGCGGUCGUGCCAGCUUCUCGCGCAGCACAUUGCGCUUCUCGAGGCACCGGUGGGCCCGCGUCCAUCAAGCUCACCCCCCCAGUUUGACCUCGGAUCAGGUAGGGAUACCCGCUGAACUUAAGCAUAUCAAUAAGCGGAGGA